CGGCGCGAUUGGAGCGGCCGAUAUCAGAUUAGGUAGUUGGUGAGGUAAAGGCUCACCAAGCGACGANCUUUAGCUGGUCUGAGAGGAUGAUCAGCCACACCUGGGACUGAGACACGGCCCAGACUCCUACGGGAGGCAGCAGUGGGGAAUAUUAGACAAUGGGCGAAAGCCUGAUCCAGCAAUGCCGCGUGAGUGAUGAAGGCCUUAGGGUUGUAAAGCUCUUUUACCAGGGAUGAUAAUGACAGUACCUGGAGAAUAAGCUCCGGCUAACUCCGUG
rnacentral:rRNA from 1 species